GACGAACGCUGGCGGCGUGCUUAACACAUGCAAGUCGUACGGUAAGGCCCUUUCGGGGGUACACGAGUGGCGCACGGGUGAGUAACACGUGAGUAACCUGCCCACAACUUUGGGAUAACGCUAGGAAACUGGUGCUAAUACUGGAUAUGUGCCUCUGCUGCAUGGUGGGGGUUGGAAAGCUCCGGCGGUUGUGGAUGGACUUGCGGCCUAUCAGCUUGUUGGUGGGGUAGUGGCCUACCAAGGCGGCGACGGGUAGCCGGCCUGAGAGGGUGACCGGCCAUACUGAGUCUGAGAGACGGCCCAGGCUCCUACGAGUGGCAGCUGGGGGAAAGAUUGCACAAUGGGCGCAAGCCGGAUGCAGCAAGUCCGCGGACGGGAUGACGGUCUUCGGGUUGAAAAACGCUUUCAGCAGGGACGAUGCUUUUUGUGACGGUACCUGCAGAAGAAGCACCGGCUAACUACGUG
rnacentral:rRNA from 1 species